GACGAACGCUGGCGGCGUGCUUAACACAUGCAAGUCGAGCGGUAAGGCCCUUUCGGGGGUACACGAGCGGCGAACGGGUGAGUAACACGUGGGUGACCUGCCCUUAGCUCUGGGAUAAGCCUGGGAAACUGGGUCUAAUACCGGAUAUGACCUCAUGACGCAUGUUGUGGGGUGGAAAGCCUUGUGCGGCUAGGGAUGGGCCCGCGGCCUAUCAGCUUGUUGGUGGGGUGAUGGCCACCAAGGCGACGACGGGUAGCCGGCCUGAGAGGGCGACCGGCCACACUGGGGACUGAGACACGGCCCAGACUCCUACGGGAGGGCAGCAGUGGGGAAUCUUGCGCAAUGGGCGAAAGCCUGACGCAGCGACGCCGCGUGA
rnacentral:rRNA from 1 species